UACGAAGGGGGCUAGCGUUGCUCGGAAUCACCGGGCGUAAAGGGUGCGUAGGCGGGUCUUUAAGUCAGGGGUGAAAUCCUGGAGCUCAACUCCAGAACUGCCUUUGAUACUGAGGAUCUUGAGUUCGGGAGAGGUGAGUGGAACUGCGAGUGUAGAGGUGAAAUUCGUAGAUAUUCGCAAGAACACCAGUGGCGAAGGCGGCUCUCUGGGCAAUGACCGACGCUGAGACGCGAAAGCGUGGGAAGCAAACAGG
rnacentral:rRNA from 1 species